CAGGAGGUGCUUAGAGCUGCAAGGAGCGCCCCUGCCCAUUAUGGGUAAUCAGGUGAUCUGCUGUGUGGCUCUUUGUCUCCUCGGAGCAGGCACAGCGGCUGGUGGAAUCACUCAGACCCCAAAAUACUUGUUCAGAGAGGAAGGACGAGAGGUGACUCUGGAAUGUGAACAGGAUUUAAUCAUGACUCUAUGUACUGGUACCGACAGGACCCAGGGCAAGGGCUAAGACUGAUCUACUACUCGCUGACAGCAAAUGAUAUUCAGAAAGGAGACAUACCUGAAGGCUACAGUGCCUCUCGGGGGAAGACAGCAUUCUUCUCCCUCAUUGUGACAUGGAUUUGA